CUGGCGACAGAGCGAAGCGGCAUGGUGUAAACACCCUUGAUUUUGGCUUCGGUGUGAAAAUUGAUCCGGUAUGAAAAUCAAUCCGGUAUAGUGUAAUCCCAGCCUUACUCUUAUGUAACUACGGUGAGGCGGUUCAGGGUAAAAACCGAAGACGGUCUGAUAUUUUAAUUUCUUCAAUACUCAUAUUAUAUGCAUCAUGUCGAUCAUAUUUUACGCAUCUUUGCGUUCAGUUGGUGCUG